rnacentral:rRNA from 1 species
GGCCACAGCCAUAUCACCCUGCAGCCCAAGACCAGUUACUCACUGAAGCUAAGCAGGGCUGAGCCUGGUCAGUACUUGAAUGGGAGACCACUAGGGAACACUAGGUUGCUGUUGGAA